rnacentral:rRNA from 1 species
GAAUAUUGGACAAUGGGGGGCACCCUUAUCCAGCCAUGCCGCGUGUGUGAAGGAGGCCUUUUGGUUGUAAAGCACCUUAAGCGAGGAGGAGGCUGCUCUAGUCAAUAACUACCGAUAGUGGACGGUACUCGCAGAAUAAGCACCGGCGCACUCUGUUCCAGCAGCCGCGGUAAUACAGAGGGUGCAAGCGUUAAUCGGAUUUACUGGGCGUAAAGCGUGCGUAGGUGGCCUAUUAAGUCAGAUGUGAAAUCCCCGAGCUUAACUUGGGAAUUACAUUUGAUACUGGUAGGCUAGAGUAUGGGAGAGGGUGGUAGAAUUCCAGGUGUAGCGGUGAAAUGCGUAGAGAUCUGGAGGAACACCGAUGGCGAAGGCAGCCAUCUGGCCUAAUACUGACGCUGAGGUGCGAAAGCAUGGGGAGCAAAC